rnacentral:rRNA from 1 species
AACUCCGAAUGCCAAUUAAUUUAACUUGGGAGUCAGAACAUGGGUGAUAAGGUCCGUGUUCGAAAGGGAAACAGCCCAGACCACCAGCUAAGGUCCCAAAAUAUAUGUUAAGUGGAAAAGGAUGUGGCGUUGCCCAGACAACUAGGAUGUUGGCUUAGAAGCAGCCAUCAUUUAAAGAGUGCGUAAUAGCUCACUAGUCGAGUGACACUGCGCCGAAAAUGUACCGGGGCUAAACAUAUUACCGAAGCUGUGGAUUGUCCUUUGGACAAUGGUAGGAGAGCGUU